rnacentral:lncRNA from 1 species
AAUAAUGAUUUGAAUGCUGAAUCUGGAUUGUAAUAUUUAAUAUCUGAUCACAUUCUUUGUAUGUUGAAAAUUAUGACAAAUAUACUGAAUAAGAUAAUUAUGUAUCUAAAUAAUGUCUUAAUGUUUAUCUGUCAAUAAUAAAAUUAGUUUUGCAAGUAACAUUAUUAUGGUUGAUAUUUAUAUUUGGCUAAAAUACAGAAAGUCUUUCUAUAGAUAUUUAUUUUUACAUUUUUUCAUUACUUUUAAAAAUUUAUAUUUUAUUUUCUUAAAAUUUUAGAAAUAUUUUUAAGAGUUACGGUGUUAAUGGAGACGGCGAAAUAAUAAAAAAAUUUCUUGCUUACUAUAUAAAAAGAUACAUAUUUUUUAUAUAUUUCUAUCAUUUUUAUAAGAAAUGAGCGGAAUAGUAAGACUAAAUAUAGCAACUUAAAAUUUUGGUGGAGUAAAAUAUAUAUUUUUGAAAAUCAGAAGAAAAAGUAAAAAAAAAGGAAUAUUUUUAAGAAAAAUU